UGAACGAAAGCCAAGGUGUGAAUCAUAAAGAAACACAUCCACAUGCUGGUGCCUUUACAGCACUCUGCAGCGAGCGAAGCAGAGCACCCUAGCCAGUGUUCUGCAUGCCGGCGGCGAUGCCCUUCAUGGUGAGGAUGAGCGUGUCCUCCAGCCCCGGCCCGUACUCGCUCGCCGGGUUGAGCUUCACAAUCCCGCGCGGCUGGUUCUCGUCGGCGAACUCCUUGGACAGCGGCGGCUGCGGCGUCACCUUGAAGUUCGGGUCCCUUAUCCUCUUCAGGGUGUAGGCCUGCCACACGUUAAGAAUGGUGAUGUAGGGGUCGCGCAGCCGCAGCUGCUGCUUCAGGCCGGGAUCGCUUUCAAGGAUUUCCUUGUGCCCAGCAACCUGCACAAAGAUGGUGAGUAGUCAGGAUUUCCUUGUGCCCAGCAAUCUGCACAAAGAUGAAAUUCAUUCAUAUGAGUUUUAAUUUAUUACCUGCAGGAUAAGCUUCUCUGUUUCCACGUAGUUGUUCCUGAGCUGCUCCCCGAAUGGCUUGAGUUCGUCGGCGACGAGCAGCUGGUCGUAGAGGCCGGCGAUGGUGGGGUCUCCCUUGGCUAAGACCAUCUCGAGCAGGUCCAGGGUGACCCUGAAGAAUGGCCACUCGUUGUACAUCUCCUUGAGCAUCUGGAAGUUCUUGAUAUCCUUCUUCAUGGCGUGCUUGAACGCGGCGCCGAACCCGAGCCACACCGGGAGGUGGAACCUCGUCUGCGUCCACGAGAAGAUCCACGGGAUCGCGCGGAGCGACUCGAUGCCGCCCUUCGGCUUCCUCUUCGCCGGUCGGCUGCCGAUGUUCAACCUGCCGUACUCCGUCUCCGGGGUAGCCGACCGGAAGUACUCCACGAACCGGGGCUCCCUCAUGACGACGGAGCGGUACUCAUCGGUGGCGACGGCGGCGAUCUCGUCCAUGAGCGCGCGCCACUCGGGCUUGGGGGAGACCGGCGGGUGCAUGCCGUGCUCGAGCGUGGCGGCGGUGAAGCGCUGCAGCGUCCGGAAGCAGAGGUGCUCUUCGCCGAAGGAGGUUUCGAUGACCUCGCCCUGCACCGUCACACGGAGGGACCCGUUGAUGGUGUCCGGCGGCUGGGACAGGAUGGCGAGGUGAGUCGGCCCGCCGCCCCUGCCGACGGUGCCGCCGCGGCCGUGGAACAUGGUCAGCUUCACGCCGUAGCGCUUCGCCACCUUCGCCAUCUCCUCCUGCGCCUUGUACAGGUGCCACGCCGCCGACAGCCGGCCGGCGUCCUUGCCGGAGUCCGAGUAGCCGACCAUCACCUGCUGCUUGCCGCCGAUCCGGUUCAUGUACCAGUCCAGGGAGAAGAGCCGCUCUAUGGACGCCGGCGCCGACUGCAAGUCGGCGAGCUUCUCGAACAGCGGGACCACGGGCAGCGGCUGCUUCACGUGGCACUCACGCUGCAGGAGCUCGACGGCGAGCACGUCGGAGGGCGCCGUCGCCAUGGAGAUGAUGUACGGGCCGAAGCUGUCGCGGGGCAGCUCGGCGAGGACGUGGAAACAUCCGAGCACGUCGGCGAUCUCCUCGGUCUGGGGCAUGUCCUUGCUCAGCAGUGGCCGCUUGCCGCGGAGCUCGGAGAGCAGCCACUCCUGGCGCUUCUCCUCGGACCACUCGCGGUAGGACCCGAUGCCGAGGUGCGUGGUGAUCGCGUCGAUCACGUCUGUGUGACGCUCCGACUCCUGACGGAUGUCCAGCUUCACCAUGGAGAGCCCGAACGUCGAGACCUGCCGCAUGAAGUCGAGCAGGCUCCCGUCGGCGAUGGUCUUGUCACCACAGUCACACAGGGAUUUGUAGCACAGCUCAAGGGGCUCCAGGAACUGACCAAAUUUGAAGGGUUCCACAGUGACAUUAGUUAAACUAUAUUAUGAUAAGGAGCAUGACAUUAACAAAUAACAAUGUUUAUGGAACCCUCAAAAUAACAAGAGGAGCAUGAUGCCGGAUUACCUCUUCAACAUUCUUAAAGGCCGAGUCCUCCGGAAUGUCAGAAAAUCCACUAGUUAGCAGAUGGCGCGAGCGUUCGCGUGUGCUGUACAAUUUGUCCCUCACAUAACCAAGCACCACGCGAUACGGUUCACUUGCAGGAAGUUGCCUCCAGAAUUCUGCACCAACGAAUUCUCUUCAGAAAAUUGGCAAACUGACAAGGCUGAUUCGUGUUAACAUCAUAGAGACUCCUCUUAAAGCCUCCACAUGAAGGCACCUAGGAUUCUAGGUGGGCACUUCAAAAAAAAGAAAAAUACUAGAAAUUUUCAAAAAAGCAAAACAUCUAGCCAUCUAUUCAGUAGACUUAAAUCAUCCAAUUCAUUGAACUAUUAUGUUCCUGCCAUUAUGAAAAUAGUUUAAAGUAACCCCCUAAGUAUAUAUCUAAAUUACCCACGUAUGCCAUUACAUAAAAUAAAUUAAAGUACACCUAAUCUUCGUCUAAAUUACCCACUUAUACCAUUAUUAAGAAUAGUUUAAAAUAACCCACUAAAUUUGUUUCAAAUUUCCCACCACUAACAUUAUAAAAAAAAAUAACUUAAAGUAAAUCCUUAAGUUUACAUCUAAAUUACUCACAUAUUCCAUGUUUAAAAAUAUAUCCCAAGAUACACCAAUAUAUUAUUCUAAUCAUUAAGGUAUAUACGCAUGAUGUGUGUCACCAUUUAUAAAUAUAUAGAGGAAGUGAUAAGAAUACAUAUUUUCAUGUUAAAAAUAUAUCUCAAACUUAGGUUCCAUUAAACAAAUUUAAGAAUGUAUAUACGGUGCAAGUGAAACAAGAUAUUAUAAAUAUAGAUGAAAAUGUUAUAGAGUAAUUACUACUAAAAUCUUUUAUAAUCCGAUGAAGAUAAUAAAUAUUAGAAUAUUAAAAAAUGAGAGUGAGGUCAAGGUAACAGUUUUGAGUGUUUAGCUAUGUGCCUUAUUUUUUUUAAUUGAAGAAUCUGCAUUAAUCCCCAUGAGACGCAAUAGGAAAAAGAUAAAUCCAACAAAUUAUCACAAAAAUUGAAACAUCCACGUAUCAAUCUGGUAGACAAUCUAUCAUUAUGAAAAAUAUUCUAAAGUAAACCCCUUAGUCUAUAUCUAAAUUACCCACAUCUACCAUUAUAAAAAUAAUCUAAGGUAACUCCAUAAUCUUUAUCUAAAUUACCCUUGCAUAUCAUCAUAAAAAAUAAAUUAAAAUACUCUUCUAAAUUUGUAUCUAAGUUACCAGCCUAUGUUGUUAUUAAUAACAACCUAAAGUAAUUAUCUGUGUGGUCAUUAUACAAAAUGUCCAAAAGUAACCCAAUAUAUGAUACUAGACAUUUCUAUCAUUGUUAAUAUAGAAAUACAAAGUUAAUGUAUAUAUGCAUGAUGGGUGUUACCAUGUAGAACAUUUAUACAUGUAUGAGAGAAAGUGAUGAAAACUACAUGAUUUUCAGGUUAAGUACAAUAUAUGGAGUGAGAUGCAAAGUGAAAAAACGUACGAAUAUGAAUGAAAAAGUAUAUAGAGUAAUUACUAAUUAAAAGUUAAUCACAACCCAACAAAGACAAAUGCACAUCUAUAUGAGUAUUGGUGUUAGAAUAUUAAAUAAACGAGAGGGUCAUAGGUAAAAAGUUUGAUUACUUACUAGGGUGUCUAAUUUUUAAAUUACUUCAUAAUACAAUGGCUUCUAAAAUUAUUAAUCCAUGCAAGAGCACGGAUUGAUGGUCCAGUUAUUCAAAUUUGAAUAGACUAGUGGAGACUUUGCAAAAGCUUGUAUGGAAAACUAUUCUAUGAUUAGGUGAUACAAACAAACAUAUCGAUUAAAUAUGUAUAUAUCUUCAAAAAGGACUGCAAAUUGAGGCUAAAAUUAGUUUGUUUGAGUUACCAAUAUAAUGCUUGGAAAUUUUCUGUGAAGCAGCGUGAAGUUCUUCCGCUCGAGCACGGAGUUCGUCGUUGCAGCGCCACAUAGAGAGCUACAGAUAUAUCAGAUGAGACUAGCAACAAUAGGUAAUACUAGAUGAGCAUUAGGAAGCAUGAAUCAAACACAUUUCUACAAUACCUCGAACAUCAAUUCUUCUAUCUGAGAGAAGUACAAGUUUGACGCCAUCAUUCUUGCAAGCAAGCAUACAUCCCUUGUCACCUCUGGCGUAACUCUUGGAUUUCCUACAGAAACCAAACGUAUGGAGACUUGAAGGGGAAAACAAAUGCUAGGAACACUAAAAAUAGUCAUCACUCAUCACUAAUUACUUAGACGCAAUCCGAAUACUUUUUUCUAGAGAAAACUAGAGUAUCACAUCAAGGAAAUUAAAAAGAAUUAAUUGAUAAUCCACUGCCACAAAAAUGUGUUCCGGAAUCAGAAGAUCAUUCGCAUCUGCAAAGGAGGAUUUACCAUCGCGGUCGCCACCCAUCCAAGAAGAGAACUGAAUGAGAGGAGCAUUGUAGGGGAGACGCUCAUCAAUCCCGAUGUUCUUUAGAGCUGUAUCCACACGUCGCAAAAACUUUGGGACACCCUUCCAUAUAGUUUCAUGAAAAUAGCUCAUCCCGUAACGCAUUUCAUCCUGUGGGGUUGGUUGUGCUCUCCGAAUUUCGUCUGUUCUAAAACAUGCUUGGAUCUGCGAAGAGCAAACACCAGGCAUUAGAACGAAUUGAAAUUCCCGAAGCAUUAAAAAACAAGAUCUUCACCCUGCCCUAGUUCAAGUGGACUGGAUCAUGGUGAAAUAAAAUAUGUGAAAGGUAACACUAGUAAUUUAGCAGAUUUCCAGUAAAAGAAUUCAAAAAUCUCUAUUGAAGUACUCAUAUAAUGAAAACCGUAUGGCACAGUGGAAAGAAGACAAUGUAAUAACACGACAGAACCAUAGCCGUAGGAUAAAAUUUUUACUGUUUUUAAAUGGCAGGGUAGUAAUAAUUGUGUAAACAAAAAAAUAGUACUAUUGUGUGUUUCUUAUUUGGACUUGAAGGAAUCAAUAAAAAAAUUGUCAGAAACUUUGAAGAUAUUUUAUACCAAUUGCAGUGAGCUAGUUCCUUUGAGCAAGCACGAGUUCACUUUAAUCUUACUACCAACCUUUGGUACCAAUACUUUUCACCAGCUAAUAGAACGAUUUGAUAUUUGAACAAUCUUACUAUAUAAAUUGGAAGCUCCUUUCAAAGUCGCAAGGUGAAGCCACCUAGGAUACUCUAAAAAAGAGAGAAAUUCUAGAAAUUCUUACAAAAUUAGAUGUUUCUAGCCAUCAAUAUGGUAGACUCUAAUCACAAUUGAUGAUAAUAGCCAUUGGAUCUAUUACAUUUAAAAAAAAACCCACCCAUGCUAUUAUGAAAAGAGUUUAUAACCCUCUAAAUCUACAUAUAAAUUCCUCCAAAUGAGCCAUAUCAUGUGAUGCUUGGUUAUGUAAGAUAAAUUAAUUCCUCCAAAUGAGCCAUAUCAUGUGAUGCUUGGUUAUGUAAGAUAAAUUGUACUACUCAUGCAAACGUUCGCGCCAUCUGCUGACUACUUGAUUUUCUGACAUUCCGGAGGACUCGGCCUUUAGCAAUGUUGCAGAGGUAAUUCGACAUCAUGCUCCUUUGUGAUUUAAGUGUUCCAUAAAUAAAUUUUCUUUGGAAGCUUCUCAUCAUAGUAUGAUCAUCUUACCAUUACUAAUUGAAAGCUCCUUUUGAGGCCUUCACAUGAAGCCACCUAGGAUCCUAGGUGGACACUCUAGAAAAAUACAGAAAUCCUAGAAAUUCUAUCAAAAAAGAAAAACAUCUAGCCAUCAAUUAGGUAGACUGAAAUUAUCAUAGACAUUAAAUCUAUUAUAUUUUCUAAAAAAUUACCCACCCUAACAUUAUAAAAAUGUCUAAAGAAACCCCCUAAAUCUAUAUCUAAAUUACUCACCACUACCAUUUUAUAAAAUAAACUAAAUUACCCCUAAUCUUCAUCUAAAUUAUCCACUUAUGCUAUUAUAAUUUUUUAAAAUAUUUCCAUAAAUUUGUAUUUAAAUUGCCCACCACUAACAAUAUAAAUUAAAAUUAAAAUUAAAGUAACCCCUUAAAUUCACAUCUAUAUUACCCACAUAUCCCAUUAUCGAAAAUAAUAUGAGGUAAACCUAAAUCUAAAUUCAAAUUAUAUCCAUUAAAAUAUAUCCUCAUGGUACACCAAUAUAUGAUUCUAAAUUAUCUAUUUCUUACAUUGUUUAUAUAGAAAAUAAUAAUUAAGCUAUAUACGCACAUGAUGUGUAUCGCUGUUUAUAAAUAUAUACAGGAUGUGUGUCGCCAUUUAAAAUAUAUUUCCAUGUUAAAAAUGUAGAUCAAACUUAGGGUCUAUUAAACAAAUUCAAGCAUAUACCUACAAUGCAAAGUGAAAAAUAAAGAUUAUAAUGUGGAUGAAAGCUUUAUAGAGUAAUCAUUAACUAAAGUCUACCAUAAUCGGAUGAACAUAAUAAGUACAUACCUAUAUAAGUAUUGUAUUAGAAUAUUUAAUAAACUGGAAAGUGCUUAAGGUAACAAUUUUGAUUGUUAGCUAGGUACCCUUAUUCUUUAAUUGGAGACUUCGUAUCAAUUCUCAUGACACGCACUAGCAAAAAAAGAUAAAUCCUACAAAUUCUCACAUAAAAGUGAAACAUUUAGGCAUUAAUCGUGUAGACUCUAAUAAUCAUAGUCAUUGGUCUAUUAUAUUUUCUAAAAAAUUAUCCAACACUAUGAUUAUGAAAAUAUUGUACAAAUUCUCCCUAAACCUAUAUCUAAAUUAUCCAUCUCUACCAUUAUAAAAAAAUAAUCCAAUGUAAUCCCAUAAUCUUCGUCGAAUUAUCCAUUCAUGUUAUUGUGAGAAAUAACUUAAAUAUCUUCUAAAUUUGUAUUUAAAUUAACACAUACGUGGUUAUUAAAAAUAACCUAAAGUAAGUACCUAAAUCUACAGAAAUAUCCAAAAUAAAAAAAUAUGAUUCUAAAUUACCUAUUCUACCAUUAUUAAUAUAGAAAUACUAAGUUAAGGUAUAUAUGCAUGAUGGGUGUCACCACAUGUAGGCGAUUUAUAAUCGUAUCAAUGUAUGGGAGGAAGAGAUGAAAAAUAUUGAUUUUCAUGUUAAACACAAUGUAUGGAAGUGCGAUGCAAAGUGAAAAGAUAUGAAUGUGGAUGAAAAAGUGUAUAGAUUAAUUAACUGGACAAAGAUAAGGACACAUCUAUAUGAAAUUUGUGUUAGAAUAUUAAAUAAAUGAGAGUGUCCUAGCUAAAUAAUUUUGAUUAUUAGAUAGAGGGUCUAGUUUUUAAAUAGUUUUCUAAUACAAUGGCUCUUAAAAAUGUUGACGUACGAAGAAUUUUUGGGCCCACUAACUUACACGUGUCAUGCUGAACGUCAUGGGCUCACAAGUCCACAUAUUGUGUUCUAUACUAUCUUUAUCAGAAGAAGAAUUUAACGACAAAAAGAGAUGGGCAGUCCCUCUUCAGCCUCACAUGCAUGGGAGAAAUGUCAGAAUGGCCUGUCUGGCACCCUGGCAUGGCACUUGUAUGAUGCAACCGAGCAAGAACAAGAGUGAAAAGGAGGGCCUUAAUGGUGAUAACAACACUGCCGUAAUAUCGAUUGCAAUAACAUGAUCGUUUUCUUGGAAUUCAUUAGGUAAACAAAGUCAGAGCCUCAAAUUUGCAGGAAUUAUCUUGAUUCACUAUGCAAAAGUUUUGAUGUUCACUAGUGUUGAAAUGUAAGUACCUCCCUCUGCAGAGCCUCGUCGAGCUCCUGCUUAUCGUCCUCCGUGAUGUCCUUGGCAUACAGCUGCGUGAGGCAGUUCCGGAUCCUGCGUGCAAGGACAAGACGAACAUUUCCGUUCCGUAAUAAUGAAGAAAUGGAUUGGAAUUGUUCACGGAUUUGGAUGCAGAAUAAUGACCCGUGUACCUGGCGUGCUUCUGGAGGAGCGACCUUCGGACGGACUGCGUGGGGUGGGCGGUGAAGACGAGGUCGACGGUCUGGUUCUUGAGCGCGUCGAAGACCUCCUCCUUGGACUUUCCGAGCUCUGUGACGAGGCGCUUGAGCGUCUCCUCGAUGUCAGACUCGGUGGCAGCGAAGCCCUCGUCGGCGAAGUCCCCGCGCUUGAGCUUGUUCCGGCGGAGGUGGGCGAGCUGCACCUCCUCCGCGAGGUUUGUUAGGUUGAGCAUGUUCGAGAAGGAGCUCGCCACGACGAUGGCGUCAUUGGGGGACAGCUUGGUGAGCCUGGACCCGAGCUCGCUCAGCUUCGCGGCGUCGCGGUCGCGCUCGUACUCCGCCGCCACCUCGUAGCACUCCUGGACCUGCAAGCAGAAGCGUGCAGGGGCCUGGUGGUCAGUCGCCGGCCGACCGGGGAGAGGCGGCGAACUGGAUCGAAUUGAAGGACGAUUACGAAUUCACGGAUGUUUGGGCCGUGGAGGUCCUGGAAGAUGUCGAGGAAGCGGUCGAUGAGGAGGGCGUCGUACUCGACGAGCUUGUCGUCCUCGGAGACCUUGCCGGGUGCCAGGAGCCGGAGCUGCGCGUCGAUGGAGUGGUGCUUCUCCACGGGCUUGGACGCCAUGGCGUGGUGGGAAGCGAAGCGAAGCUAGAUGACUGGAGUGGAGCUAGAUGGCUGUGGCGGUGGCACGAGGUCGAGCGAGGCGCGCGGGUGGGUUUAAAUAACGGAUGGGGCUUCUAAAAAAAACAAAAUAACGGAUGGGGAGUCGGCGAGUGUGUGCACGGGAUUGCACGCCUCAUGGCGGAUGGAAAGGGGGCUUUUUUUUUUCAAGCGGAGGGCAUGUGACCGGCGGCGAAUCACGAAUGCAAGGGGAGGGCCGAGGGGCAGCGCUGCGGAGCGAUGUGCUCGUUGCCUGGUUUUCGUCUGGGUUGUGCUGUCGACGUACUUGUCACUGCUCAAUCGCCUUCUUCUUCCUCGAAUCCUUCUCUUGGCUAUAAUUAAUUUGCUUGGUGUGGAGGGACUUGGACUCAAGCAUGUGCUAUAUAGGACAACAUGCAUGAUCAGUGACAUUUGUGGCAACGCCGUGGAGGAUCACAUAUACAUUAUCGCUCUAGGUGUCCGUUUGCGCAACGGUUUAGGCUCAUCACGGAUAUGAUGGAUGCACAGCCAGCCACAUACGCCCUCUCCUGCUGGUUCUGGGAGACGAAACCCACCUGUGACCGAGCCCAUGGCCGAACUACACACACUGCUGCUCAUUUGCCGUUGGCAACUCUGGAAGCACAUGCACGGUGCUGUCUUCCUCUUCCCCUACCCGUCAGCUCCCGCCCGGUGGCUCACUGACUGUGAAAAAGCAAGACGGAAGCGAGGCUCCCGGCCUUGCGACAGGCUUGUUCCCAGGUUUUUUUCAGGGAAAACAUAACGCUUCUCUAUUAUUGCAUAUUAUCUUUCGGACCACACAUCGGCUUCAUACGUGGCAAUUUAAUAGAGACCGGCUUCACAGGACUUAUUUGAUGCGGAAACACUACGAUUGGCGCUGAGGGCACUGAUGCGCUCGUUUUCGUACGGAUUGUGCUGUGGACAUACUUUGUCACUGCUCACUCGCCUUCUUGCUUCCUUGAAUCCUUGUCUUGGCUAUAAUUUGCUUGGUGUGGAGGGACUUGGACUCAAGCAUGUGCUAUAGGACAACAUGGAUGAUCAGUGACAUUUGUGGCAACGCCGUGGAGGAUCACAUAUUCACAUUAUCGCUCCAGGUGUCCAUUUGCGCAACGGUUUAGGCUCAUCACGGAUGGAUGCACAGCCAGCCACAAACCCCCUCUCCUGCUGGUUCUGGGAGACGAAACCCACCUGUGACUGAGCCCAUAGCCGAACUACACACACUGCUGCUCCUUUGCCGUUGGCAACUCUUGAAGCACAUGCACGAUGUUGUCUUCCUCUUCCCCUACCCGUCAGCUCCCGCCCGGUGGCUCACUGACUCUGAAAAGCAAGCUCGCUCCCGGCCUUGCGAUGGGCUUGUUCCCAGUUUAUUUUUAUUUUUAUUUUUGAAAAAACAUGACGCUUCUCUAUUAUUACAUUAUCUUUCGGAUUAUAUAUCGGCUCCAUGUGUGGCUAUUUAAUAGAGACCGUCUUCACAGGACUUUGUUUGUUGCAGCAUUACUACGAUUGGCGCCGAGGGCACUGAUGUGUUCGUUUUCGUCUGGAUUGUGUUGUGGACGUACUUGUCACUGCUCACUUGCCUCCUUCUGCUUCCUCGAAUCCUUAUCUUGGUUAUAAUUUGCUUGGUGUGAAGGGUGUAUCAGACUCAAACAUCUGCUAAAUGACGACAUGCAUGCAUGAUCCGUGACAUCUGUGGCAACGCCGUGGAGGAUCACAUAUUCGCAUUAUCUCUCCAGCUGCCCGUUUGCGCAACGGUUUAGGCUCAUCACGGAUGGAUGCUCGGCCAGCUACCCCCUCUCCUGCCUGUUCUGGGAGACGAAACCACCUGUGACCGAGCCCAUGGCCGAACUACACACAUUGCUGCUCUUUUGCCGUUGGCAACUCUGGAAGCACAUGCAUGAUGUUGUCUUCCGUGCCGCUAGUCCAUGCCUGUCCACCACUCCACCCUGCUUGCAUCGAGCAAAACUGAAGCAAGGCUGUGGCAAUGCUGCUUUGUAAUUCUCCUUCCUCAUCUCUACGUAAAGAGAAUUUAGUAUUUGAAUCCCAAUUUGCACUACUUGGGACUUAAUAUAUGUUAAGCCAAAUAGUACAUACCAGAUACAACUAGGAAAAUGUCCAUUUUACUACCAUCACCAAUCUACUUUAUCUGUCCUCUUAACCCCUAAAUAAAACUUAGGCUCGAUUUAUUCCCCCAAACUACUUUAAAUGGUCCAAUAUACCUCUAAUGAGAUUUGAUCUUUUUUGUUUCUCCACGUACGAAUCGAGUUUUAAGUUCAAAUUCUGCAACGUGACUUAAAUAUGAUGCCCAAUAUUAGAAUAAAUUCAUGAUUACUUUUCAUGCAGUUUUGUAUCCAUAGGAUUAGUUUUGUAUCCAUAGGAUUAGUUUUGUAUUAAUGUUCCAGAUCUAUGAAAAUAACCAUAAAAAAUAAUGUACUUUUCUAACAUAAGACACCAUAUUAUCUAUCCACUAACAAGUUUAUAUGUUUGUAUCUCUCUUCCAAAUUAAAGUCUUGUUAGUGCCUCCCAAAACAUAUCUAGUUAUUUUCCGUUCACAAUUUUUAUUCGUCCAACAUUAUCCUCUCUUAUUCAUUAUUCCAAAAUAAUUAGGUACUGUACUAAAAAUCAGUCUUGUUGUUCGGUAGUACUGCAAUUCACUGCUCACUUGCCUUCUUGCUUCCUCGAAUCCUUGUCUUUUCCUGUUAUCUCUUUUGUCAGUUCACAAGGGCAUUGUUGUCUCUUGUUGAAACUUAAACAUAGUUCUCUUUCAAGGAGAGAUGGCCAAGUUAAUGAAGAACAAUGGUGUAAAAAAAAAGGGCAAGCAAGCAAUUAUAAAACAGAGUGGGCCAAAAAAGUAUAAAAGUAUGUUUUUGCUUUUCUGUGUUUUUGUUUCAUGGGGCCCAAGUAAAGCAAAAAAGCCUACAAAUGCCAACUGCAUCCAUUGUUCGGUCCUGGUCAUGUCUCAUCUCUCUCUCUCUCACUCACUCACUCAUCAAGACUGCUACAUGAAGUCAAUGAGCCCCUUUGAAAUUUUUAAUGGGCCUGCUGAAUUUUUCUUUUUAUUUUUUGUUCAUUUAUUUUCUAUAUAUGUUAUAUUUUUUCUAUUUAUUUUCUUUUAUUUUUUAUUUCCUUUUAUAUUUGUAUAUUAACUUGUUCUACAUAUUUGUUCGUGCAUAAGAAUAAUUUGUUCGCCCAUGUAAAAAAUAUUUGUUCACAUAUGUAUCCAUUUUGUUUACAUAGACUAAUUUUUCCGUGAUCUUAUAAUAUUUAUUUGCAUUGUACACUAAAUCGUUUGAUAGUAAAAAUAUUUUGUUCACGUUGGAUUCUAUUUGUUUGGAUCAUACAAUCGUUUGUUCCUAAUGUUGGGUAUUUUGUUUGUUGUAUACAAUCAUUUGUUGUGCAUAUAAUAAUUUGUUCCUGAUGUUUAAUUUGCUUUAGUUUUUUUACUAACAAAUGCUCACGAUGUUGAAUCUUUUUGGUCGCACUAUACUAUUAUUUAUGCACCAUGUUUAAUAUUUUAUUCACUUAAAAUCAUUUGUUCCUGUUCUUUAAGUAUUUGUUCGAUGUAGUUGAAAUGUUCUAGCUUCAUAAAAAUUGUUUGUAAGAAAAUCCAUUCAAAGAUAAUGAAGCGUGGUCUUAUUUUGAAGGUCCUGUCAUGAAGAACAUAACAGUACCAUCGAAAUUCAAUUCGUAUGUGCCUUGUUUAUUAUUUAUGGCUUUGUUUAAUUAUAAAACUACAUGCAUUCAUUGGGGUCUAGAUAGAGUAAUCUUAUUUGUCUAUGGACUCAUUUCGUAUGAAUGUAUAGCAAUGCAAAGGCAAUCGCAGGUGGUCGUCAGGGUCGCCGACCCCAAUGCAGGACUGCAGCUUCGCCCCAAGCAUGCACCAGAUUUUUCUUCUCUCUGCGCAUGCAUUGUUCCUGUUGAUAAAGCCUGGUGGUCCAAAAAAUAGUAAAUAAUACUGGUGCAUACGCUUUUGUAUGCUUCAUGUGUCAAUUGGCGAUUUUGUCGCCUGAAGCGGUAGAUAACCACACCGUCCCGUCAUCCUCUCCUACUCGCCUCGAUCUCGCGCCCCCGCUAGUGACAACCAUCGCUACUAGAAAGACAUCAAUCCUACGUAAAAAUCUCAAAACCAAUUGUACCCGCAUUAAUCCUAGUCUAAAUUUCGUACUCCUUUAUUUAAAGCUUUUUAGCCCCGGUUAGUGUUACAAACCAGAAUUAAAGGACCCCCAUAGACUUCAGAAGGAAAGCAUCCCACUCUCAAUCGCAUGUGCUGUAUAGGUGAGAUGGUAAGCAAACUACGUGCGAGGCAAGAGGUCGCAGGUUUGAAUCCUAUGCACCGUGCAUGCGCAUAUUUCGCAUGAAAAAUCGCAUGACUUAUGACUUGAUUGAGUUACCUAGGGCUUAAAGGGCGUGCCCCCAGUGGUGCAGUCCUGAACCUCUUAUGCUCUAUGCUCAGCUAUGUGUGCGGAGGACAACUGUUAGCAAAUAAUUCAAAAAUAAGAUCUAACACGAGACACCGAUUUACCGAUUUAACGUAGAAAAAUCCUUAUUGGGAAAAAACCACAGAAGACAAUCACUCUUGUGGAGAAUUUACAAGCAGGGAUGUUACAUAGUUCAUCUAAGAUUUUUUACCCUACGGUCUACAUAGGGUUUAUAUAGGGUGGAACAUAACUCACGUAGGAGUAGGACUCUAUCUCUAAAGUAGGUUUUGUAAUAGACUAGGAAUCAAAUCCACUUGUGUUAGAUCAUAUUUUAACAACCCCAUUUAGCUCUACCUUCCCCUCGCUCUCGCCCACGCUGCAUUGGCCACCGCCUGCCCUGCCUGAAGGCCAGCCGAGCCGAGGCCCAAGCUCCGCCGCCACCCAGCCCUCCACUCGAGCCACGCUUGCAAGCCCUCCACACAACAAGUGUCUGUCGACCAAAGCUCGUGCACCCACCUCACCCGGUCGAUCUCUACCAUCCACCGUCCUAGGGCUCUCCUACCAGUCUACCACCUCCAGUCACUCCGGAGCCGCCUGGAGACCACUCUGACGCCACGCUAAUUGAAGAUGGUCCAAGCACCUUUCAGUGAGAGGACGGUGAAGAAAAUAAAAUGGUAAACCCAUGACAGUUUGGUCCUAUGUGGCAGUGAGCGAACAAAAAGAUGGAGGCCACCCCAAUUGGCCUUUAUUUGGGUGCUACGAAAUAUGGAUUAGUAGGGAAAUAAAUAAAGAUUAAUAAUUUUACAUGUUAGAGCAUGGUUAAUAACAAGGAGGCGACUCAACAGAGAGGGCUCUCCCGAUAAGCAAUCGGCAAGAGCCCCUCCCCUCCCUCCAUCCCAGGCCCCCCGCGGCUCCUUAUUUGUUCGCACUCAAAAGAUAAAAAAAGGGUCUCCCACCUUCUCCACGGCCGCCUUCUCUGAGCGAUAAGCCUCAUGGAGGUGACGCUGCCCUCCCGCCCACACAGAUCCGCCCCACCGCUAGCCUCCACCUUGCUAGCAUCGCCUCCGACACCAACAAGGACCGCGCUGCUCCUCCCCUCUCCCCUUCCACCUCUCCUCCCACACCUCACCAGAUCCUCCCCAACUCCCCCGCCUCCCCAGCCGCUCCUACCGGCUCGGGCGGCGUCAUCGCCGCCGGAUCCACCGCCCAAACGAUCGCCGCUGCCGUUAACCACUGCGGUCCCGAUGCCCCCGCCACCGACCUGGCCCAACCGGCCUCCUCCACCACCGCGACAGCGGCGGCGCCCGCCGUUUUGCCCACACCCUACCACCACCGCUGGUUUGGCAGCCGCUCCCAGCCAUCCCUCUAGGUCCAACGGGCAUGGAGUCCCUCCCCACCCUGAAAUCCCAAACCCGAACCAUAGCCCUGCCAGCCUCCACCACCACCCGCCACCGCCGCCGGCCGCUCCGCCCAACAACCGCUGGAGAUGGAGGAGAUUGCCGGAGGAGGGAUCACCGGUGGUGUUACUUCCUUCCACAUCUUUGUUAUUUCUAUGUUUUUUUUCCCUUUCUUGUCUUCUUGAUCCCAUGGCUUCAUGGGUUCUUCCAAAUCGGGAGGGUUCUCGAGUUAAGCUAAAACGAGAGCCCUCAUGUUUUAGCUUUUGCGUAAUAAUAAAGCCAACAACGGGUUGUGUGUUAUUGCCAAUAUCAUAUACGGUCAACUAAUAGCACAUUCAUAUAGACACAGUUUGGAGGUGCCGGUUCUAUAGCAUGCAAUGCAAGUGGGUGUCCUAGGAAGCUAAUUCCAUUUUCCUGCUGCUAGCUAGGUCGCAUCGAAUCUGUGCUAGCUGUGAUGGGUGGCGGCGGACGGUGAGGGUCGACCGGCCGGCCGGAGCAAAAGGAAAAGGCGGCCGGUGAUGGACGGAUGGAGUGGUACGGUGGUGGCCUAUUCGUCCUGGGUCAGCUCGAUCGCUUUAGUAAAGAUAAAGCUAGAGCCCUACUCUCUAUAGCUGACUGACAACACAUCGCAGCAGUAGCGUCAACUCCUCCCUGAUGCAAUCUCCAUCGUGCUUCAUACGUACUAUACUUGGAAUGCAUAUAUUCUCUUCCGAUGGAACAAUUAAUCGCAUGCUUGCUUUCGGUUGCUCACCGAUCCAUCUGUCGCUCUCAUGCAUCUUUAAUUUCUCUAGCUCCAUCCAUCGAUAACUUUAGUUAUUCUCCAGUCUAUUCCAUUCUCUUCUAUUCAUAGCACGCGCGCAGAAGGCCCAGCCUUCGUCCCGGCAAUACGCGUCGCCAAUACUACAUCGGAACGAACCAGGAUCGGAUCGAUCGAGAGCAGUAACCAGCAAAGGUCUGAUGGAGAUGAGCCGCGCGGCUCUGGACGACGUGAUCCGGCGGCUCCUGGACGCGCGGCGGUGGCGCCCGGCGGGGAAGCAGCAGCAGCAGCUGCUGGCGGAGGGGGAGAUCCGGCAGCUCUGCGCCGGCGCCAAGGCCGUGUUCCUGCGGCAGCCAAACCUCCUGGAGCUGGACGCGCCCAUCAACGUCUGCGGCGACGUGCACGGCCAGUUCCGCGACCUCGUCCGGAUCCUGCAGGAGCUUGGCGGCCUCCCGCCGCGGAGCAAGUACCUGUUCCUGGGCGACUACGUGGACCGCGGCGACCAAAGCCUGGAGACCAUCUGCCUGCUGCUGGCCUACAAGGUCCGGUACCCGGAGCACGUGUUCCUCCUCCGCGGCAACCACGAGUGCGCCUCCAUCAACCGCAUCUACGGCUUCUACGACGAGUGCAAGCGCCGCUACACCGUCCGCCUCUGGCGCACCUUCACCGACUGCUUCAACUGCCUCCCCGCCGCCGCGCUCGUCGACGACCGCAUCCUCUGCGUCCACGGCGGCAUCUCGCCGCACCUCCGCAGCCUCGACCAGAUCCGGGACCUGCCCAGGCCCUGCGACGUCCCAGACGAGGGCCUGCUCUGCGACCUGCUCUGGUCGGACCCGGCCGCCGGCGUCCGGGGCUGGGCGCCGAACGACGACAGGGGCGUCUCAUGCACCUUCGGCGCCGACGUGCUCAAGGCCUUCCUCCGCACCCACGACCUAGACCUCCUCUGCAGGGCGCACCAGGUGGUCGAGGACGGAUACGAGUUCUUCGCAGACCGCCAACUCGUCACCGUCUUCUCCGCGCCAAACUACUGCGGCGAAUUCGACAACGCCGGCGCCAUCAUGUCCAUCGACGCGGACCUCGUAUGCUCCUUCCACAUCAUCAAGCCGGCGGCGGGCGACACAACCACCAACAGGGGCAUCGCCGCCGCCUGGGGCCGCAGCAGCGCCGCCUCAGCGUCGUCGUCCUCGUCUUCCGGCAGAAGCACAAAAAAGGGGUUGAUGCGCUACUGGUAGUUAGCUUUGCCACCUAGGCCACAGAUACCCAGAUCCAUCCAGUGGCCCGCCACAUCGCCUGGGCCACAGCCCACUCUAACAAAAGUUUCUUUUAAUUUGGUCACGGACUUUUCCACAGCAUAGAGACAUCAGACAUGGGCCUCCGAAUUGCUCAAGGCAAAUAGCCAAUAGAUCAUAUCUCAGCCUCCCACCUCUGUCUAUAUGCCAGUAUAACAUAUCUGAUCAUCAUUAUAUUAUAAUAAAAAAGAGACCUAUUCGCAAAAAAGAAAGAGACCAUUCAUGGCUAUUAUUAAACCGCUACCUGUUCUUUGCAAAAUUCUCUAAGUUAUCUACGGAUGUGGUCUACAAAGUACAACAUGCUCCUGUUAUGGUGUCCUGAUCCUCCUUCUAAAACAAGACCCAAAACUGAAUCCACUGCAUGACCCUGAAAAGAAUUCGCAAACAAGAUUGUGUGUAUGCUUAUAAAAAUAAUAUCAUUUUGCUAAGCCAAAUUGAAAUUGCCCAGCAAACCACACUUGCCCCUUGAAGCCAGGACACAAAUAUAUAAAUGAUAUUAUUAUGUUUUUCAAAAGCUUAUUCAUCUAGAAAGGUAUCAUCUUCGAGCUAGUUCCGUGUGCCCUUGACAACCUUUGUUCAGCGACAAGCCCAGUGGGUGGUUCUUCCGAUCCAAGCGGGAGAACCUUUUCUUUUUUGCGAUUGCAAGGACCAGUAUGCACUUUUAUUUUCUACAAUGGCAUUCUUGUAAAUUGUAAUGUGAAAUCAUUUUAUUUUUAUAUAAUGUGAAAUAUAUAAAACCUGAUUUUUUUGGUUGGGGUGAAACGCCCUGCAUGGUGCUUUGAUUUUUUUUUGGUUGAUAUGUUUUGUUUUGUUUUUUUUCUACUCGCAUGCUCAACAUAUUUGUGAAAAUAAUUCAACAUUUAAAAAUACGAACUCAACAAUAAAAUAUUGAAAUAGUAACAAAACAAAAAAUUUAAAAUAACAUAUUGGAUCUCACUUAAUUUCAAAGAAUACCAUGGUUCGAUUUAAAUUUGAAAUGUGUUUAGCAUCUUGUAACAUCCCUAAAUUCGAAAGCAUUUAAAAAUGAGGGUCUUUUAAUUUUUUUCUAAAUAAACUUGAAAUUAAUCUUGUGUUACCCUCAUUAUUCAAAACUCUUUAGAAUAUAUUCAUCUAUGAAUAAAUACUACAUGAUUGUGCAUUUGAGUGCUUUAGGAUUUAGAAAGAAUUCAAAGCUCAUGACCCUUCCUCAAGUUUGAACCUAGCUCAAAUUUGAAUUCAAAUUCUAUCAAAAACCCCUUUCAAGCAAAUAUCAAACAUCACUAUUCUAAACUAGGCCGACAAACUCCUUUUCAGCCCAACCAACCUUUCCAGCCCAGUCCGCUUUCACCUUUCUCCUCCCUUUCCGCAUGGUCCAAACAGGCCGCUAAGCCUGCCAGCCUCGCGGCCCACCUAUCUGGUCCAGCCAGCCCGACCCAUGACGCCGCGUCGUCAUCCUCUUCCUCUCCCCUUUUUCCACCUCGGGCCGCCUGUGCAUCCCCCUUUUCUCUCAACGCUGCGGCCCCGAUGCGUUUCUCCCGACCACCCCUUCCCUCAUCCCACGCGUGCUGCAUUGCCACGGGCACACCUCGCCCACACCCCAUGUUAGAGCAUCCCCUCCUCCUCUCACAACCCCACCCAGCCACCCUCGCACGUGUGACGCCUUGGCCUUGCCACAGCGACCGCCAAGCUGAUCCCCUCACCCCGGUCAUCUCCUGCCACUCUGAGGAGCACCCUGCACCCGCCUCUAACCACCGCACCACCACGUGCUCUCGCCCUUACUUGGAAUCCCUUCCCCUUGCUCCUCUGCGCACACACCAGAGUGCCAUACCCAUGCACAGAGCACCACCGCCAUUGAUGGAUAGCGAGCUUACCCACCAGCACGCACCAGAGUGCCAUACCCGUGCAUAGAGCACCGCCGCUCACCCCGACCCUAUCCGCCGGCCCGAGCCACACCACCAGGUCACCACAGGGCUAUAAAUAGCCCCCUCCCAACACCCCUCCAGCACACACCAUCACCUCCUCUCCCUCUCGUUGGAACUAGGAAACCGGGUUGAAGUCGAGCGCGAUGUGAGCCCAUAGCCACCCUCAUAGCGCCGCUCAGACAGCUGCUCCACGCAGGCCCAUCGCCGCCGCCUACCCCUACUGCCGCCGCUUGCCGUCAACACCCUCUGGGCCGAAACCCUAUCUCCGGUGAGCUCUGACAUCACCCCUGUGCUAUUCCUCCCCCCUCUCAGUCCUCCCCCGCCUUUGAAACCCGCGCGCUCCACUCAUUGGAGUGCCGCCAUCUCGUCCUCACUCCGCCGCUCAUCGCCGGUGAGCCUCUAUCACAAACAACAACCCACACGCACUCACAUGGCACCCCUAGGCCCACCCCGAGCAUCAAAACCCCAGGCCAAGGCCCCUACACAAAAUGCCCAAAACACCCGACCCGUCGCCGCCACUCCGGCGAGCUCCGUUGGUCACCACUGCCCCGUUUUCACCCUAAGAUCUACCCCAUCCGCUUCGUCGUGAUCACCCGAGCUCAAAACCCUAGCCUUUGCCCCAAACCCCAGCCUAUAGUCGCCGGCAUGGGGAGCUCCGGUGAGCUCCCUUGCUCCGCCGUCGUGCUCCAACGCUCAACCCGAGCAGUGCGUGCGCGUGGGUCCCACAUGGAACUCAUGUGGCGCCCAUGAUGGCGCUAGCCCCGCGCGUCAACCGCAUAGGCCCACAGCCCCGUCAGGCUCUCAAACUCCUCGUGUGCUCGGUCCAGUGAACCGCUCUCACACCCGCAUCCCGGUCCACGCGUCCACGCGCCCAACCCACAGAACAACACCAUGCGCGCAGUCCAUGCUGAACCCGCUGACCUAGCCCCACCCGUCAGCCUCAUAGCCAAGCUAAAAAUGCUAGGUACACCCUAGCUAAAUGCACACAAAACAUUAUUUUGCCCAUUUCUUUUACCCGAAAAUCCCACCAAAAUUCUCAAAAAUACUAGAUAGAUUUUCAAACCUAUAAGAACCAUCUAAUCUUCUUUUGCACAUUAUUAAAGUCCUAAACCAAAUAAAACUAUUAUCACCCAAUAGAAAAGCUCCAUAAAGUGUACCCCAAAUUCCCUCUUUUACAUUUCUUAGCUCCAAAAAUACCCAGUAAAUUCCUAAACAUAUCGAUGAGUUCACAUCUUGAAACUUAUAUCAUGAACUCCCAAAACCAAAGGGCCACCCAAAUAAACCUAUAGAAAUCCUAUUGUUUUCAUAUUAGAAAUCAUGCCAAAUUUCCAAAUAAUUCCUAGAAGCCUAGAAAAUCCUUAGCUCAUACCGGGAACCCCUUAGCAUGGAAACCACUAUUAAGUCAUCCCCUAACCCUAGAACUCACAUCAAGAAACCCACAUGAAAUAUAAGAAAUCACAAGGAACUUAGGAAAGCCAUCAUAAAUCCCUUUGAGCUUUGGAUUACUAUUGUUUGGCGAUUGAUUGCAUGCUUAUCUCUUUGAUUAUUUAGUGCCUUAAGAUCUCUCUCCGAGAAGCUUGUGUUCUACCUCGGAGUUAGAUUUUCGUCGUAAAGACUCAAAGGCUCCGCUCAACAAGCCAGACAAUUCUUAAUAGCAACCCCUUGAUCAUGCUUUUAUCUUAUAUUUUUUAAUACUAAAAUUAACCUAAAUAAUAAUAUGAUAUUGCAUAGUUUCAUAACCCCUUAAAAUAUAAGGUUAGGCAUGUCCCAAGAAGCAAGCCUCCAUUUCUCCCCUCCUUGCUGAAAACCCUAAGAAAAGCCUUGUACCCAAGGCUUAUUAGACUUCACAUUUUCUGUUUCCAACUUUACCCUUCCAAGGAUACACAAAUGGUGUGAAUUUAGGUAAAGAAAACAACUAUAAAACUUGACUAGUAACCAGCUAAGGAGGAAUGCGAGGUAAGUUGGGUAGCCUCGCAGGGAGCUCCUAUCCAACAUUAUCUCAGUCAUAUAAGGACUGGUUCAUUGAGCAAGUCUUUCCAGCCUAUAUGUGCAACCAUACGAGCCAAAAAGGUACAGCCUUCGGGAGUACCUAUUUAUGUGAGGACUUGAUUCACCUCACUACAGAGUCUAGUAAACCAUCCCAAGGGGCCGUGGUGGGCAACGGAUGGACUGGAGCAGGACCUUCGUAUAGUCCUAGGUCUGGCCGGCAUAGGUCAUUGUUUGAGGUUUGGAGGACCUGUUUUUAUAUCAUGAUAUAUGCAUCUUUUCCUAGGUUUGUCCUUGAGUGGACGUUGAAUGGCCCCUGCUUAGGCCCUAGUGGACGUACUCAUGCUUCUUGUUUUUUGACCAGGAAACACCCACUAUGGGAGAAAUAGAUAUCCAUUCUUGGACAAUAAGCUCGGAUGAAAUAGGACCAGGUCCAAUGGCCACAUUUCAUGGGGGCUCUUUAAUAUCGGGUAUUUCACCAAAUACUAAAGAUGGAGACAAUUAGUCUCGUUUUCGUAGUAUCAGCUAGAAAACCGGUAGGACAGGUGUGGGGGCCUUACUCUGAAGGUCCCGCAGAUCACAUGUAUUAGUUCCUGGAUCAGUAGGCUAAUAUAGUUAUCAUCAAAGUUCAAUAUUAUAAGCAAUAAAAGGUGCUUAAAUUAAUAAUCAAUCAAUUCACCUUAACACAGCGAAGGGAAGCGUAGGUGCCCAUCCACUAACAAGAUGGUUAACAACACCCGAAGGUCUAAACCUGCAUAAAGAAAGCAAGGCUAAGUAUGCUUAUGGUUGGUACUCAGCAAAUUCUAGCUAAAAUAUAUUAAAUGCAGGGGAGAUCAAGGAAAGGGUAUGAGGUUUGAUUUUAAUAAUAAACCUAUUUUAUGCAAGAUGAGGUGAGUUUUGGAAAAAAGGAGAAAGAAGUAAGCAUAUUUUAAGUUGUUGGCCUUGGAGGGGGAAUCUUACCUCCCCAACCGUCUUGGGGGCAGCUUCGUACAUCUUGCAGAACAUUGUACGAUUCAUCAGGUCAGAACAAAAGUACAUGAUGAUGUCGCGGUUCUCAACACCGUCCAGCCCGUUGCGGUUCUUGAAAAAGCAGUUGGCGUACUCCUGGAUGGUUUCUCCUAUCCUCUAGCAGACUUGGCUGAGUCUCUCUAUGUUGCCAGGUCUAUUGUAAGUAGCUUGGUAGUUUUGGGUGAAUGCUCUAGCGAGCUGACCCCAGCUGUCGAUGAUGUUUGGUGGGAGAUUAUCCAGCCACACGAGCGGAGCGGGACCCAUCACGACCAGGAAGUACGCGACCACCUGGUCGUAGGUGCCGUUGGAGGCUUUCACCGUGGUACUGUACGUCUUGAGCCAGAUGGUGGGGUCGGAGUGACCAUCAUACUUUUCAUUGAUGGCUAGCUUGAAUGAGGCCAUCCAGUCAACAACCCUGAGGCAUAGAGUGAAGGUGGCGAAGUCAUCGAUCGCCGUGUCAUCAUCAUAGUCAUCGUCGAGGUAGUACUCGACAAGACGAGCCCUGGGGCAUCCACUGUAGUCAUGCCUAGGUGGGUUGUAAGCAUCUUCAGGGGCGCCUUACAUGUAGUUGUAGUCGGCGUGGGAGCGCAUCUCAUCCUCUUGGCGACGGUGGUCCUCGUGCUCAGCAUUGCGGUUGGGCACUGGAGCGCCACAGUCACGGUCGUACUCUUCAUGCUCGUGGUGGCAAUUGUUGAGGUUUCGGUGGAUGUCGUGGUGCUAACAGAGGUCGCGCAACUCAUCACGGAGAUCAUGUUGCUGUCCUAGUUGACUGCGGUCCUCAUCAUCACCUCUCCCACUGCAGCGGCGGUUGUCAUUGUUGUCGGGUUGACGACCGUUGUUGGCAUUACCAUUGAUAGAAGGGUUGGUGUUGCUAUUGGCAGGUGGAUUGGUGUUGUUGUUGGUGUGUGGGUUGGCGUUCUGAUCCACCACUUCUUCACGGAUUGGCUCCAUCCAACCUCCCGCACGAUCGCCUCGCCGGUGGUCGGACUUGCUAUGCCUGGAUCGGCUCCGAGCGUGCCGAGUAGCUGUGGAUCGAGAGUGUGCGGGUUGGUUGAUCUGCUCCUCGAUCUAGGCGUUGGUGACUUGGAGUCGCGCCUGGAUUCAUCAGAUUUGGUACGAAUUUGGAAGAUUUUCCAAGUCAGCGAAGGCAGCCCUAGGUUUGCUUGGGGUGUGGCAAAGAUGUUGUGGCCAGCCUGCUUGAUGUCGGCUAGUAGAUUGCGGGAUCAUAUGGGGCACCUACAUCUAUCCCGAGCACCGCCUUAGUCAGCAUUGUCAUGGUCGUUGCGCGGCUGUUGGCGCUGAAUGCCUGCUUCAUCUGCGUUGAUAGUAGGUUGCUACUGGGUGUUGGCUUGUUCCCGUUGGUAUCGUGCUGCUCGGUUCUGGUUCCUAGCGUUACGACCCUGUUCCUGAGAUUCUAUCUCGCCAUCUCAGGGUGGCUCAUCAGCGGAGACCAUGAAAGCUUCUCGAUCAGGCGUGGAGGAUUUGCUCUCAUCAUCGUUGUCAUAGGGAUUUGGCGUCAAGACCAUGCAAGGCACCUAGAAUUCACCACAGUCAGAAAACUGGGCAGGUUCGGGUAGGUCUCCUGAUUGGAUCUGGAAAGCUUGGUCGAGCUUGGCUGAGUACUCAAUAGUCGAGUUCCACAGACUGAAGGGGACGCGGGACAGACCCUGCGCGGACCUUGUUGAACACAGCACCACCUUAGACAAGUUUAUGCACUUAGCAAUAGUGCUGCUGAUGCGAUCUAGCCCCAUGAUCAGGUCGAAGGGCAUGGGUGGGCGGGCAACAGAGAGUAGAUGUGGAACUUUCUUGAAGAGAGAGAGAGAGAGAGUUCGCUGACUUGUUGUGCAAGUGGCGUGACAAUCCUUGGGUGAAGAACUUGUCCCACCGGAGCAGAUCCGACGGAAGCUGAGCUGGUGUUGGAUGCCGAGUUGGCAGAAGAUGCUGAGUCGGCGUAAGAAGCAGUCACAUCAGAAUCCGCCGCCAUGGUCCCAAAACGAAUCAAGAUUGGGUUGGCGAGGAAAUCCUUCGUCCUCUCUGGGAAAACAACAACAGGACGGGAUGCCAUCAAGGUCGCCAAGAGGAUCUCGCAACCUUCCCUACCUUGUGCGCCAAAUGUCGAAUUUAUAAGCCUAGCAGUCCACCAGGGGGUUACCCAAGUGGUUGAUUUGUAGGUGAGGGCGAUUGCGAAACCAAGAACUCGAAGGUGAUCAUGAGAACAUGAAGGGACACACGGGUUUUAGAUAGGUCCAGGCCUCCGGAGAGUAAUACCCUACGUCCUGUAUUUUGGUUCUUUAUAUUGCUGAUCUGAGAUUGGAUGUACACCCAGGGGGUGCCCUUGGCUGCCUUAUAUAGGCUGACGACCAAGAAUUACAAGUCAGUUUGAAUCUAAUUUACUCAGUAGUUACAUGGAAAGUAAUCUCAAUCGGACUACAAAACGCGUUCCAUAACGUGCACUCCAAGUAACUUCAUGUCCUCGGCCUGCUCACCCUGAUUGAGCGGGCUCACUUAUCAGGUCCAGCCAAUAUCCUGGUCGGUAGGGACCCAUGGGGUACCCAUAUCCCUCACCAAAGGUUGUAAGUAGUCGUGGCUGCAUCCCCUGAGUACUUAUUUUGUUAAUGUUUGAGUGUAUGAAUCUUGUCUAUCUGUGCAGGAAGAUGUGCAUUUGUACUGCUCUGCUCCUCCUCCCGGAUCAGAAGACAUUUGUGAAGUUGAGGACGAAGAAGAAGUAGUCGAGGCCUCCAGCAGCUCUGAUUCUAAUGCUGCGGAGGGCUUUGAAAUCAAGGCCUGGCCAUCUGAUAAGGCCAGAUUGUCCUCUGCAUUAUCGAAGCGUGCUGCUGAAGACGAUCUGGAGGUUGCACUUCCUCCGCUGCCAAGGAAGAAGCAGUCCGUCGCUGCGAAGCAGGUCGUGAGGAAGCCUGUUACUACGGAAGACAUACCCCAAUGGUAAUAACUUAUGAGGAAUAGCAAGAUCCUGAGGAUCGAGUACUCUCAGUAAGUAAAUCCAAUACCACCAUGUCUACUCAAUAUGGUAUUGGUGAUUUGCAGGUAGUCGGGGAGGUGACUGAGGUAGAGAAGAUGACUGCUGAUUUCGCGCAACACAGACUGCCGAUCAUCGAGGAGGUGAUCGAGAUCGAAGACGAUUCAGAACCUCCUAUCUUUGAGGUGGACCUUGUUGACAUGAGAGGUACUCGAAGAACAGAGGUGGUGACAAAGGCUGGCGAUGAUCGAGCUGCGAUCCUGCAAGCCGCACCAAAGAAGCUGUCUCUGAUGAUUAAGCCCCUCGACCUGACAGGGGAACCAUCCUUGAAUCUGAGGAGAUCUUCAAGGUAUGCAUUUGCUCCUUAUGAGUACUAAGGGCGUGAUUGGUUGCUCCGGGUGUAGGGAGCCGGUAUGGAGGACCGGUCCAGGCUCACGGGAGAUAGGUUGAAAUUGUGCACCGAGUUGUGUUUGGUUGUCUUUGUUGUUGGUCCGGUAUGAGACGGAAUCAUGUUUGGUUGCAUACAUGGAUAAGAGUUUUGGGUGUAUGUCACAUGGGUCCUGCGCGCUCACCUGCACCGUGCCAUCCCGGCUCGCGAGGGAAGGUAGUUUUUGGGCGGAUGGAGGGAUGCGGGAUGGGAGGGGUGGAGUGAACGAGAGGGUGCAGCCAUAUGAUGCGGGAAGAGCAACCAAUCACGUCCAAGUGCACGAGAUGAUGCUGGAUGGUCCUCCGGACGCCACCAUCCCGCCUACCAAUCACGCCCUAAUUGUAGCUCAUGAAUGACUUGUUUUAUAUCUCUGAAACUUAUCCGUAUGCAAGAAAUCCUCUGACGUGAAACUUGGAGGGCCUAGCCUGAAGUCGGCGACUGAUAGCAGUAGCCACUUAGUCCAAGAUGUUAAUCCGACACUAGCAAGUCCGCAGCCAGAAGAACACUCGACAACGACAAGCCAUCCAGGUGCCAUAUCUCUCAUAGCAGUGUUGAUGCAGGAUGUGAUAUAUUCGUUGACUGACACUGUAGGGCUAGCCCCCAAGCAACAAGUGCUUGAAGAUGUGGAGGCAACUACCUCUAGCACCAUGGUUACUUUCGUAGCCCCAGAGCCAGAGGUGGAAACUGAAGCAGUGGAAGUGUUGAGGGUCAUGGCUGCCGGCCCAUCUUGCGAGCCGGGUCCAUCGACAAGUCGUGCUGUUGUUCCACUCAGCCCAGUGGACUCUGAAGCUCAUGCGGAUCCAUUGGUAGCUGGGGAGAUCAAUCUUGAAGACAUCCAGUUGAUUGAUGAUCCAUUGCUGGACGCAGAAAUGGUGGCUAGAAUGAUGGAGAUGCACCGUCGCAUCGGAGCUUAUGCAGAGGUAAGCUUUAUCCUGCUUCUUCCAUAACUAGUAAUUAGUAUCCUUUAGCCUGACAUAAGUACUUAUUCUGUGAUGCAGGAUGUCAUUAGCGCUCCCAGCGGAAGUCCCAGAUGCUGCAAGGCUAUGGGGACUCAGUACUCCAUGCUGAGGCCCUUGCAAAGGAACUGGCGAAAGAGAGGGAGUACUCCUCCAGACUGCUUAUGAAGUACGACGGAUAAGCCGCUGAGUACCGGGAUCGUGUCCAGCAGCUGGAGGAGGAAAAGGACCGUCUCAAAGGUUGCAACAAGUUGUUGAACCAGUAGAUGAAAGGUAAUUGAUCUUCUUCCUUGGUCUGCGAGUACCGAUUUUGCAAACUUGUAAUAUUGAUCCUCUCAUGUAUUUAUUUGUGCAGUGCUCGAGAAAUCAAAAGAAGAUCUCCAAGGCCAAGUCAUCGACUGGAAGAACUCCUACUACCGGGUGAUGGACCAGCAUGAUAAGCUGACUGCAUUAUACGAGAACCUGAAUCAUCACGUGAAGAAGGAGAAGAAGAUGUGUGAAGAUGGUAAGGUCAACUUGGUCAAUGCCAUGAAGACCCUACAGGAUUGUGAAGCCGAGUUGGAAGCUGCAAGACUUGCUUUGAAGAAAAUUUCUGAAGCAGCCCAGCCGAUGGUGGACAUGGUGGAGCCCCCAGUUGAGGGUGUAGAGCCCCGCCCUCUAUCUGAGAUACUCAAGGACGUGCCAGCAAAAUUCACCGGCUAUAUUCAGAAGACGGCGAAGGCUGUCUCCAAGCAGCUGCUGAGCUUCGUCAAGUCCUUCUAUCCUUCAGCUGAUCUGACGCCUAUGGCGGAUGGUAUAGUAAAUGAUUGUUUGGAUGAGCUCUUCGAGAAGUACCUGCAAGAUAUGAACCCCAUCGCUGAAGAAGUAGCAAAUCAUUUAGAUCUUGAGUAGCCUUGUACAAAAAGCAAACAUUAGUUCCUGUACUGUAAACAUGAUAUGGAUGUUCUGAAAUGUAAAAAAUUCUGUGUUUUGUUGCAAUUUUUAUUGUUUUUGACUUGUGUGCGUUUUAGUGCCUCUUACGAUCUACCCUGAUAAUUACCCGUAUGGUAGAUGUAAGUGUCUGCGUACAAGGCUUGUUUGAUGAGCCUCUUCAGAAACACUAUGUAGAGUACCUAGGAUGCGACUCCUUUCUGCAGAGUACUAGUACUCAAGGUAUUUGGGUAGUUAGACCUCUGAGGCGAGUAGUCUCUUCAGGAUUUCUUCGACUAGAGCCUAUCUCGACAACCUCUCUAGGUUGUAUUGAUGUUGCACUCCUAGAAACCCUGGAACUACAAACUUGUUGUCACAAGCCGCAACUAGGCAGACUUGUCUAGCAGACAGUAAUUUAGGUAGUUUAGUUAACUUCUAAAUUGCUGAUGACUUCUUUUCUGCAAGCCGCUAAGGGAAAGAUUUGUCCAACGAGUUGACUAACUCAUGAAUUUUACUGCGGACUUGUCUUUGCAAGCCAAUUUUGGACAAUUUUACCGCCGACUAACUCGAAAAUUUUUGCAGACUUGUCAUUGCAAGUCGUAUUUGGGCGGUUUUGCACUAGGGAGCUGGAUAGCUCUGUGAACUUGCUUCUGCAAGUUGCAAUUUAGGUAGCAAUAAGUACUCGUAUUACAAAAAAAAUAUAACUGCUUUAUUGAAUUGUAAUUCUACAAUUAAGGUCGAUGGCUGGUGUACAUGAAUAUGUAGACUAGGGAUAAAAUCAACAGAGUUUCUCAAUUUUCCACGAGUUCUCGAUGUCUUCAUCAGAGAGGUGUUGGAGCCUAUACGACCCAAGUCCAGUGACCUUGGAGAUGAUGAACGGACCCUCCCAUGGUGAGUUUAGCUUGUGCAGCCCCGUGGUGUCUUGGAUACACUUAAGGACCAUAUCGCCUAUAUUGAACGAACGUUCUUUGACGUUGUGAUCAUGAUAGCAGCAGAUCCCUUCAAGGUACCUUGCGGACUGGACGAGUGAUGCACAACGAGCUUCUUCAAGGCUGUCUAAGUCUAUAUACCUUGUUUCUUCUGCUACAGCCUCCUCGUACCGCUCGACUGUUGGAGAUUUCCACAUGACGUCUGCAGGAAAGAUAAAUUCGGAUCCAUAGAAUAGGAAGUAGGGCGAUUGCCCUGUAGGCUUGCAUGGCUGGGUACGGAGCCCCCAGAGGACAUUGGGUAGUUCUUUGAGCCACCUGCCCCCAUUCAUGUUUCCAAUAUCGUGCAACCUUUUCUUGAGGACCUCUAGUACCAUCCCAUUGGCGCACUUAACCUGGCCAUUGGCCUGCGGAUGAGUGAUAGAGACGUACCGGAUGGCAAUCCCGCUGUUCUUACAAUAUUCACAGAACUCUUGAUUGUUCAAAUUGGAGUCCAGGUCUGUGACAAUGCGAUUGGGGAAGCCGUAGCGGUGGACGAUUUCAUCGAGGAAGUUGAGUACACUGUCUGCCUUGGGGCAGGUUACUGGCUUCACCUCGAUCCACUUGGUAAACUUGUCAAUUGCCACCAGUAUUCGGUUGAAUUCUCCCGGCUCCAUGGGUAGUGAGUUAAUCAUGUCGAGCCCCCUGCAAGCUAAGGGCUAAGAGGAUGGUAUGGUGAUCAACUUGUAGGCAGGGACAUGCUGUUGUUUGGUGAAGAAUUGGCAUUCUUGGCAUCGGAGGACUAGUUCCUUGGCGUCAGCGAGAGUUGUAGACCAAUAGAACCCUACUCUGAAAGCUUUCCCCAUGAUCUUUCAUGAGGAUGUGUGGUUUCCACAAAUGCCUUUGUGAAUUUCCUCCAGUAUGUCCUUGCCAUCUUGUCAUGAGAUGCACUUCAUGAGUACUGCUGAUGAUGCGCCUCAUCUGUGAAGCUUGUCUCCAACUAGAACGUAGUUCAUCGUGAGACUUGCUCGGCCUCUGUUUUAUCUUGAGGCAACUUGUGCUCUUUGAUGUAGUCGAUGAAAGGAGCUCUCCAGUCUACGUUGGUCAUCAUAACCUUUCGAUCUUGUGCGACAUAACCUCGAACGGUUGUUGUCGAUGGUGUCGGCUCUGCUAUGGAUGGCUUGUGCAGCUCAUGGAUGAAAACCCCAGCGGGAACUUCAGCACUAGUAGAUCCAAUCUUGGAUGGGACAUCUGCGGCAACAUUGUUAUCGCGAGCUACGUGGUGGAACUCCAGAUAGAAUAAUUUGUUCUCUAGCUUGCGUACUUCCAAGCAGUACGCAUCCAUGUUCUCCUUGUGGUGGUCCCACUCAUCGUUGGCUUGAUUGAUUACUACCAAUGUGUCGCCGUAGACCAAAAAUUGCUUGAUUCCUAGCAAGAUUGUCAAGCGGAGCCUGUGCAGAAAAGCUUCAUAUUCAGCUUCGUUAUUGGAUACUUCCCAGAAGAUUUGCAAGAUGUAUUUGAGUUGUUCGCCUUUGUGAGAUAUCAAGAGUAGUCCUGCGCCGGCGCCCUCGAGCUUGAGUGAUCCAUUGAAAUACAUGACCCAAUGCUCUGAAUGCUCUACUGGCGUUGGCAGUUGAUUCUCCCGCCACUUUGCCAUGAAAUCGACUUGAACUCCAAUGAUAAUGCUCCGAUUUCUAUCGCCCAUUUAGAUAUUCUACUCGUUGCAUCUCGAUUGUGAAGAAUUUCUCUCGGAGGAAAUUGGUGAUGAUGGAGAUGCUGUGCUCCUCGAAGUAGUGUCGUAGCUUCCGCGAGGUGAGUUGUAUUGCGUAAACUAAUUUCUGAACUAGUAGGUAUCUAGCCUUUGAAUCUGACAACACCUUGCUGAUGAAGUAGACGGGCCUCUGUACUUUGUAUACAUGGCCUGGUUAUGGUCUUUCAACCACAAUCGCCGUACUGAUGACAUGAGUAGUCGCAGUGAUGUAAAGCAGCAAAUCUUCGUUGGGGUUUGGCACUGUGAGGACUGGUGGCUUUGAUAGGAAGUCCUUUAAUUGUUAGGGCUUGAUCUGCCUCCUCGAUCCACUAGAAUUUAUCUUGCUGCUUGAGUAGUUUGAAGAAGGGUAGGCCCCAUCUCCAAGCCUUGAGAUGAGUCUGUUGAGAGCCGCCAUGCAUCCAGUUAGCUUCUGGAUGUCCUUUAUGCACGAUGGGGCAUGCAUGUUGGUGAUGGCGGAGAUCUUCUCGUGCUUAGUUUCAAUUCCUUGGUGACUAAUGAUGAAUCUAAGUAGUUUCCUGGAGGGUACGCCAAAAAUGCACUUUGUUGGGUUUAGUUUCCACCGGAAUUCUCGCAAGCUUGCGAAGGUUUCUUCCAGAUCCGCAAUCAGGUUGUUAGGAUUUCUGGUCUUUACGACCACGUCGUCCACGUAUGCCUCUAUGUUGUGGUGUAGUUGCUUCUCGAAGCACACCUAGAUUGCCCAUUGAUAAAUAGCGCUUGUGUUCAUCAACACGAAGGACAUUGUUGUGUAGCAGAAACUCCAUAUCGGGUGAUGAACACAGUUUUGAUUUGGUUUUCUUCCUGAGAGCUAUCUAGUGAUACCCUGAGUAGCAAUCAAGGAAGCAGAGUAAGGCACACCCAGCUGUGGAGUCGAUGACUUGAUCAGUCCUAGGGAGCCAGAAGGGAUCCUUUAGACAGUGCUUGUCAAGGUCUGUGUAGUCGACACACAUCCUCCACUCGUUGUUAUUUUUCGCACUAGGACAAGACUAGCAAGCCACUCUAGAUGAUAGAUUUCUUUUAUGAAGCCCACCGCUCAUAGUUUGACUAAUUCUUUCUUGAUUGCUUCUCUUCUGUCUUGGGCGAAUCAUCGUAGGUGUUGCCUUUUUGGUGUAGCUUUUGGAUCCACGUUAGCGAGUGCUACUCCCUGGGCACCCCCAGCAUAUUCACUGGUUUCCACGCGAAGAUGUCUCGGUUGGCCCGGAGGAACCUGAUGAGUGCGUUUUCCUAUUAAGGAUCUAGCUCUGAGCCAAUCAGGGCUGUCUUGGAGCUAUCACCAGUCUCAAGGUCAAUGGGUUUGAUGUCUACUUCACUUGCUGGCUUGACCUUGGUUCCCCCUAACUUCUUUUCUAGGAUCUCGAGUUCUGAUGGGGACAGUUUCUUGGAUGCGGCGAAGACUUGCAUCAUCGAAUGUGGAACUUGUGUAGUUGCUGCUAGCUCCACGGCUUCUAUGUCACAGUCAUAUGAUCUCUUCAAGUCUCCACGGAGAGAGAGUACUCCCUAGGGUCCUGGCAUCUUGAGUACUAAGUACACGUAGUGCGGGAUGGCCAUGAAUUUCGCGAAUGCUAGUAUUCCGAGGACAACAUGGUACGAUGUGUCAAAGUCUGCUACCUCGAACUGGAUGUAUUCCAUCUGGUAGUGUUCUUUGGUCCCAAAGCUAACUAGCAAAACCACCUGUCCAAGGGGUACAGCCGCAUUGCCUGGGACGAUCCCAUAGAACGGAGAGUUCGUUGGGGUGAGCAAUGGAGAUGUCAAGGCUCAUUUUCUUCAGUGUCUUGGUGAAUAGUACAUUGAGACCGCUACUGCCAUCGAUGAGUACUUUAGUAAGUUUGGAGCUAGCGACAACAGGAUCCGGGACGAGGGGAUAUUGGCAAUUGGCACCUCUUGGAGAAGGUAAUUGGAACAUCGGACCAUUUGAGGAAUGUUGGUGUUGCUGGUUCAAUGGACAUAAUCUCUCGAAGGGUUAGCUUUUGGGACCGCUUAGUAGUGGUACCCGGUGUGCCGCCAAAGAUGACAUUGUCGGUGUUGGAUAGGUUCUAGAAUUUAACAUUGUCACCAUCAUUUCGUCUUCCUUAGCCUUUGUCUUUAGUGCAAGAUGGUUCCGGCAGGUCCUUCAUGACUAUGCGUAGACUGAAACAAUCUAUCACUGCGUGUUUGUGGUAUGGGUGCCAUGGGCACUAUUUCUUCAUGAGCUCAUUGAAUGAAGGCCUGUCUUGAUUCCUGCUGCAACCUUUCUUGGAUGACUGUGACAUAGCCGCAACAAGAUUGUCUAGCUUUCACUUGCGGUUGUGACCUCCCGAGUAGUUAUUUCGGUUGUCAUUGUUGGGGCGAUCGUUGCGGUUCUUGUCGUUGCGUUGGCUAUUAUUCUGAUUAUUGUUGUGCUGGCCCUUGUUGCGAUUAGACAAGAACCUCUCGAUCUCCCUGUCUUCUUCAUGUGUCCAAACCUGUACGAUGAUCUUGAGAGAUUUGACAUUAGCGUCUUCUUCAUAGCCGUCUUUUGUUGAAGUCCUAGAACAUCCGGCGGUCGUAAAGACCAUUCUGGAAGCAAUCUAUAAUGUCGUGCUCCGUGAUGUCCACAAUUGUGGCUUUCUUGUCGAAGAAGCUACAUAAGUAACUCCGCAAGAUCUCGCCUUCUUGUUGUUUAACUUGAGACAAGUCAAUCCUAUUGCCAGGAUGCUGCAUUGCCCCUACGUAGUUGUUGGUGAAUACCAACUUGAGGUCCUUCUACGUGUCGAUGGAGUUCUUAUCUAAUGAUUCGAGCCAUGUGAGUAGCGCCACAUCCAUGCAGAUGGGGAAGUAGAUGACUUUGGUGUCGUCGUUUCCUCUAGUUGCUUGCACUGACACCGAGUAGCAUCGAAGCCAUUGGACUAGGUCCUGUUUGCCAUCGUACUUGGUGAUACAUGGGGGUUUGAAUUUUUUGGGUAGAAUUGUCCUCCUCACAUGUCUGGAGAAGGCAGAGAACCUGUUAGAAUCAUCCCUUGGGUGUUCGACUUCUUAUUCACGCUCACGGUGUCAUUGCAAAGGUCUUCUAUUGGGCAUUCAAGCUUUAGGUUAGCCCCACGAUGGCCACAGCCUCCCGAGGGUCCCGCCUGACUACUCUCCACUCCAGCUUGGCUUGGUCUAGUGCCUCCAGUUUGAGUUGGUCUGGAUGGAGAGAUUAUAUAGCUGCUGCCAUGUUGACUACGCUGGGAAGGGGAGGGUUGAACUGAAUGUAUCGGGUUCUAGUGAUCGAGUUGUUGGUAUGCGUGCUCUGCCAAUUCAGCCAAUUGUCUAGUGUACUUAUCUGUGGCAUUGCGCGGGAUAUGAGAUCAGUGGAUGCGAUGGUGGCGAGGGGAGUACCAUUGUGACGCGAUUGAACUGCUUCAAACGCGUUAUCCAGGUUCAUGAUUGGUAGGUUUGCUGCAAGGCGGUGGCGGUGCUCUACUCUUGCGGGCAUUUCUUGCUCACCCUCGAGUUCUUUGAGCUUCACUCUCCUCUCCGGCAAUGUUGGUGGUGAGCUCAUCCAAUGAGACAUCAUCCGGGUCACAUUCAUGCCGUAAAUUUCUAUCCGGUUGCUCUUGUUCCUCGCCCUCUUGUCCAGCAACAAGAGUGAAGAGUUCUUGUUCUGGACAGUAGCUCCCUGAUCUUGAAGUGAUGACCUCUGUGGUGCCAUCUUCCUCGUAGAUGGGCGACAAAGGAGCUCCCUCCUAGUACUGGAGGGUGUCAAGGUAGGCGAUAAGGCAUGAAUCAUCAUCCUUAGUGAUAGCAGGUGGCUUCAUAUGGAGCUAGUAGACGAAUCUACCUUGGGAAGUUGAUGUGAUCACUAGGCCCUGCUGCGGACCUGAUAAAGGGGUCUCCUUGUUCGAGUCCGAGUAGUAGUCAAAGUCCUCGAUCGUAUCUAUAUCGGAUUGUGAUCUGGACAGGGUACCCUAAUAAAUAAUGACCGCGUUGCGGAGGCCAAACGGGAAUCGACUCGGGUGGUAGUCCGACUUGCAUGAUGGCUUAUGCGCCGGGUCGUGAAGGUCAAUCCGAGUGGCGGGAGAAGUCGAGUUGUACUCGGACUUAUCCCCCAGCCUCUGGCUAAGUUAGAAAAUGAAAAUUCAUAGAAAUUCUCGACGAGAUCCUCCAGAGCUUGACACUGGAGCUUCAUGGUUUUCUAGUUCUUCCUCAAGAUUGCCGCAAUGCGGCGGUGGAAGUUUCCAGCACCAUUUGUGAAGCAAACCCAGGAGCCAAAGAUGAACAUCGCGCCCACUUCGAACGCGAUGAUUUGCUUGAUGAUGAUUUGCACCAUCAAGCUCGCCAGUGGAUUCUCGGCAAGAGCCCCUACCUGGCGCGCUAGUUGUUAGUGUUUAGACCCAGCAACCUACCGAGGGGGGUGCCCGAGAUAGUGUUUUAGUUAGUGGGGCUCGCCGAGAUCACGAGCUCAAAGGUGAACAUAGACAUACAAUUUAGACAGGUUUAGGCUGCUAGAUUGCGUAAUAUCCUACGUCCUCCGUGUUGGUUGGAUUGAAUUGCUUUGGAGGGGGUCCCUGCCUCACCUUAUAUUGCCGGGAGUAGGGUAAUAGGUCAGUUGAUUUACAAGAAUAUUAGUCGAAUUCGACUAGGCGAGUCCUACUUCGAUUGCUAUGAGUACUUUUCCUAAUCCUCGACUAGUUCUUAUCUUGCCACGUAGAUUAUGCUGUCCUGCGCCAUAGCCUCCAUGUCAGAUACAUCUCAGUGUACAGCCCUGUAUUUAGGAUUGUCCAAACCUUCUGGUGAGCCCAUAGAUGUAUGUAGGGUAGUGUCUGUUGAUGGCAGUUAGCACACCAAUUUGUGAACCACAAGCUCACGGAUUAGUUGUAGCUCUUCCAUCGGAGUACUCCCCCAAGGUCUACCAAUUCGUGGAACUUAUAGCACAAGAUCUAUUUCAACUAGCAUUGUUAGUAUAAACUAGGUGUUGAUAAGUGAUUCAAAUCCAAUCUACUAAGCAUGUACAGACAAAAAAUAGAUAGAGCAAAGGUAACCAAUCUAGAGCAACCUAGACUAUGUAUAUGUUGUAAUUCUGAGCAUGGAUAGCAAAGCAACACUGAUAUGAUCUUAGUAAAAAGCAUCUUUUUUAAUCUACACCUCUGGUACGGCUCCCGAAACACCCCAUCUUACACAAGAAAGAUCCUAUCAUGAUCACCUCUAUCAGUGCAAGCAGGUUAAGGGCACGAUCAAAUGAACAUGUCAUACUCAUCGGUUGAUCAGGCAUGCAAAUCCAGUCACCAUGACCAAUAGAAUACCCUAAGCAAUCUAUCAUCGAUUCAUAGAUUGAAAAGCAAGCAAACCCGAAAGAGUAUAAAACCAUCGAAGGAGAUAUUUGGAUCGCUAAGAACAUGAACACAUCUAUUGCUUCACCAUGAAUGAUUGUACAUCACAAGAUCACCACAAGGAUCCUACCUUGAUCUUGAUGACUCCUAUCUCUAGAACUCCGACGUGGAUCUUCCUCGCAAGGUGAUCACGAUGGCUAGGGGUUAGCUAUGCUAAUCCCUAGACAAUUGCACGGCCCUCGUCUUUUCGAAGUGGUGUCCCUUAAGCUCCUUCUGCUUCUCUGCUGCUUCAUAUCAAGGAUGUCAUCUUGGAUAUGGGGCUUGGUGGAUUUUUGGGGUAUUUAUAGUCUGGAGAGCAUGUGGCAAAAAUUUGAAGGUGAGGGGGCGAAGGAAACCCCCUGGGCCGAUCGGCCUGGAUGGGUCCAGGCCGAUCGGCCUGGGCCUUUCCUUUGGCCCCUCAUGUCCUGCUUCGUUCCCAAGUCAUCUCAGGUGCUUUGGAAUCUUUUUUUUACUUGCAUGUGGGCCUAGCACAAUGAUAGCUUCGGGAUGAGAUUGAUCUUUGGUAACUUUUCAAAUCUCCGCUUGAUCCUCAUUAAUCCCGAACUAAUCCUUGCUAUAUCUUCACAAACUUAGCCCUUAAGUUAUCUUGGAGGAUUGCUUGCCAAAAAUGAGCUCGAGAUGGGGCUAGGAUACCCUGAGCCGAUCGGCCUAGGCCCCUGUAGGCUGAUCGGCCUAGGCUCUUCCUAGGCCCGCAGGCCUUCAUCUUUGUAUGGUCUGUUGCUUGUUUUAGCCUUUAUCCAAAAGUGUACCUUUAGGUCCAAUUUUCUACAAAAAUAGAAUAUCCUCCAAAAUAUGUUGCACAUGUGAAAAUGAUUGGUUUAUUACAUGUGAUCAAUAGUUUUGGUAUUAAAUUCAUGUCAUUAUUGAAGAUAAAUAGGGGUCAAAGUGUGCAAUAAUGAGCGUCAAUAGUGUCCUGUUGCCAAUCUUUCAUUCAGCGAUGAAGCCAUCGUGUGGUUCUUCCAAUCCAAGUGGGAGAAAUUUUUUUCUUUUUGUGAUUGCAAGGACCCCACUACUAGAAAACUGAGCAUUCGUCCCGAGGCUCAGUACCGAUUACAUUUUUGCCCGGUACUAAUGUGAGCAUUAGUACCGAGCUUAACGGGUAGUUCCAUAGGGUAGCCCCGUGAGGCCCUUUAGUACCGAUUGGGUACUAAAGGGUGCACAUUAGCACCGGUUGAUGCCCCAACCCGGUACUAGUUUGCCACCCUCCUCCUUUAGUACCGGGUGAGGGCACCAACUGGUACUAAUUUGGUGCACAUUAGUACAGGUUGAUGCCCCAACCCGGUACUAAUGUGCCACCCCCCUUUAGUACCGGGUGGGAGCACCAACUCAUACUAAUGUGGACCCUUUAGUACCAGUUGGUGUCCCCAACCAAUACUAAUUUUUCACCUAUAAGUCCACCUCCUUCUUUCCUCCUGCCCGAGCCAUUCACCACAGCUCGAGCUUCACCCUAUCCAUGGCGCCAUAGGGGAGGUGCUACGGGAUUAAAGACCAUUUCUUGGGGAUUUCACUCCUUCAAGUGUUCUAAGGUUACAAACUUCAUCAUAAUUGAUACAUGGUUAAUAUACUAAGUUUUAUACUAUAGAACUAGAGUAAUUUGUGAUUUUUAGAAUAAGGUACAAUGGAGAAAAUUUUCAUUUAUAUGAAUAUGUUAUUUAGAGCUCAUAUUUGUGAUUUUUAGAAUAAGCUACAAAUUUUUUGGAUGCUAUAUUUCGUAUUAGUCAAAGAUAUUGAUAUGUGGUUAGAGAAAUAAUUUCAUAGUUUAGUAUUUUUUAAAUAUGAGCUAAAUAUAUUAUGGCAAAUCAUAUAGAUAAUAAGAUGAAAUAGAGGCACGUAAUUAGUCAUUUUUAGAAUAAGCUACAAUGGAGAAUUUUUUCAUUUGUAUGUUAUGUUUGAGCUACUAGUCCGGUACUCCUCUCCGAUCCGGCGUACAAAUAUGCACCACCCCAGUAACGCGCUCCAAGCCACAAGCUUUUGCAUCUCCGAGCUCUCAGCCCUCCAACACUUGCCCCACAAAGCUCUAUCCCCAGCUAUCUUUUACAACGCAUUCCUUUCACGUAUUGUAGAAAGUCACUACCGUCGUUAGACCAAAGCCAUCCUGUGAUAUGUGACGUCGACAUUUCAGUUUGUCGUAGUGUAUCAUAUUGUUUGGGUUUGAAAUUUAAUUUUUUAUAUUUCUAUCUAAACUUUCAGCAACAUUUCAGUUUAAUGGUAUUUAUUUUCAUGUUUUGUUAUCUUUCAUUUAUAAUUGUAUGGAUGAUCAGAAUAUCUUUGGUUCGGUAAUAUUUUGUAGAUGGAUCGGCAAUGGAUGUACAACGCAGACAAACAUUCCACAGAGUACAUUAAUAUCUUGCGUGUUUUCUAGAUAAGGUGAAUCCAAGAAACCGCCGUCCAGUUUCAUUUGUUGUCCAUGCAGAAAUUGAAAAAAUGAGAAGGAUUACUCAUCCAGAAAGACUAUUCAUGCUCACAUAUACAAUUCUGGAUUCAUGCCUAACUAUUUUGUUUGGACCAAGCAUGGGAAAAGAGGAGUUGUGAUGGAUGAUGAUGAUGAUGAAGACAACAUUCCUGACUGGAUUCAAGGAGGUGCCUUUGCAGAUGCUCCAAUGGGCGAGGCUGAAGAAGAGAUGGGCGAGGCAGAAGCUCCUAUCGAUGAUCUAGGUCAGGUGUUGUGAGAGGCACAGGAAAACUCCGAGAAUGUGAAGGAGUCAAAAAGGUUCGAGCAUAUGUUAGAUGAUCAUUAGAAAUUUUUGUACCCAGAUUGCAAAUAGGAGCAUAAAAAGUUGGGUACCAUACUGGAAAUGCUGCAAUGGAAGGUAAAAAAUGGAGUUUCUGACAAGGGUUUUGAUGAGUUAAUGAAAAUCAUGAAGAACAUCCUUCCCGAGGGAAAUGAAUUGCCAUCCUCAACGUACAAAGCAAAAAAGGUUGUUUGCCCUCUGGGUUGAGGUACAAAAGAUACAUGCAUGUCCUAUUGGAGGCUUGUCCUGUGUGCGAAGCGCUGUGUUAUAAGAUCAGAAGAGAUGACCCUGGUGAUGUUGAGGGGCAGACCAUCAAGAAGAAAGUUUCUGCGAAGGUAAUGUGGUAUUUCCCUAUAGUACCAUCGUUGAAGCGUUUGUUCAGAAACAAGGCACAUGCAAAGUUGAUGCGUUGGCAUAAAGAAGAACGGAAGCAAGAUGAAAUGGUCAGACACCCCGCUGAUGGGUCCCAGUGGAGAACAGUUGAUAUAGAAUUUCUUGAGUUUGAAAAUGAUGCAAGGAACAUACAGUUUGGUUUAAGUACAGAUGGAUUCAAUCCAUUCGGUGAGUUCAAUAGUGGUCAUAGCACUUGGCCUAUAACCUUAUGUAUGUUCAACCUUCCGCCCUGGAUGUGCAUGAAGUGGAAGUUCAUUAUGAUGCCGGUAAUUAUCCAAGGCCCAAAACAAUUUGGCAAUGACAUUGAUGUUUAUCUAAGACUGUUGGUUGAUGAACUUCUACUGUUAUGGAUGGAAGAAGGUGUAGUGUGUGGGAUGAGGACAAAAAUGAGACUUUUAAUCUACGAGCAUUGUUGUUCGUAACUGUUGGCGCUAAAAAUCGGCCGAUGACCCUCAGUGUCGGACACACGACUAGGGAGAAUCUGCUUAACUCCUAUUCGGGUUAUUGCCCUGGUGCGGUUCGCGUGGCGUGGCAGUCAAUCUUACCUGUUGAUUGAUAAGGAAAGAAAAGUAUUAAAUUCUAGGGGCUUCGAUCGGCUAAAGUUCCGAUCUGUCUUGAAAAGCGUAUCAGCAAAUCGACCGAUUUACUGUAGAGAUGACCGGCUAUAGGACAACCGAUGAUCAUGUAGAGAUUGUAAAGAAACUACUAGAGCAAUUUAAACAACGCUACAGAUGCAACACUUGAAAUAGAUCUAAUAAGCUAUAUGACAAUAAAUAAGAAUAACAGUAAUGAAGCUGACAGUUCGAAUCUCAAGCUGGAUAACUGGUGAUCUAACUAGAGAAAUAGAUAAAACAUAUAAUUCUAGUUAAUAUCGACUCCCAAUCGGCUAGCCUCUAUCAAUUCCCUCUGCCAGUCGGCCGAAACACUGUAGCCUUAAUCGGCCGAUUCCCAACUGUAGCUUCUAGCCACCGCACUGACCGCCUUUCUUCUCCUUUGACGCCGAUUCCAAACACGUGUCAAAAUCCAGCGUCAACACAUGCCCCCCAGUUUUUGAGUGAAACACAACUUUUGCUCUGAAACUUUUCAACUUUAACUCCUUCCUCGAAGAAAACGCAACAGUAAGCGUGGCGAAAGCUCCUUUUUGCUCCGCAGUCCCCCUCUGAUGAUUGUGAUUUUUUUGAAUGAAACGCGUGUAGGCAACCGCCAUCCCUGAAAUUUUUGUAGACAGCGCGGUAAAAAUCCCGCCUUUACCCUUCUCUCGACUGUCCUCAAAUACUCGCAUCCUCCGCCGCUUCUUCUCCACAAACUUAGAAGCCUUCCUUCUUCGGAGAAUCACCUCCCAUUGCAUUCCGGUGCCCUUUCAACUUCCAGCUGCAUCCCUCCGGUGAUUCUCCUUUCAUCUUCUGAUCAUCUCACUCUUGUUCAUCCCAAUGGCGAUCCCAUCAGCGACCAUGGCCUUCAUCCCAGAGGUAAAAUACCCCGAAAUUUUUUCCCUUUUCACCUUUUUACCAUUUCACGCAUCUUUCUUUUUAGAUAUGUUCUUAGCUUGCCCUUUAUAUCCUUCUUAGGAGCUAAGGCAGACGAUUACCAUCCCUAUCUCUGACGCACCUGGCCUUAUCGGUCUUGGCCCUAUGGGGAAUCCAGAUCCCACUGAAUUAAUCAACUUGGAAACCCACAGGAUCCCCUUCAAGCAAUCGCCCAUGGAUCUAAGUCACUUGGCAGGCGCAUUUAGGUCUUGGUCGAACGAAACCGUUAGCUGGAGAGAAUGGUUUCAAAGGAUAUCCAAUUCUAAGAGGGUUCUCUGGGAAGAACCAAAAAUUGGCCAAUGAAUAAAUUUAUCUCUGUCUCAAAUGGAGAAGAAUGAACCCUUGGUCAUUGCAGCUUCUUACUUUUGGUCUGGCACCCUCAAUGCGUUCCUCUUUGGACAUGGGCCCAUGACUCCUACUUUGGCUGACGUCUUGAUGCUGAUCGGUCUCGACAUCUCUUCCCCCAACUCUACCUUUGAUUUCCUGAUCAAACCAACUCAUCGUCUGGAAACAAAGAGAAUCGGCGGGUGGAAAGGCUAUAUUGAGAAAAAUAUGAAGACCGGGCCUAUCGGCGACAGAGAGUACACAGCUUUUUUGAUGAUGUGGCUAGAGAAACACUUCUUCUGCGGCAGAGCAACCAACCCUUCCUCCAAUACACAGGCUCUGGCCGAGGCCCUAGUGAGAGGUUCUACUAUCCCUUUGGGAAAACACCUUCCAGGAUCGGCUUAUCAUAUGAUGCACCAAAUCACUAUCAAGCUGUCAUCCGGAGAGCCGAUUGGGAACCCUGGUGGUCCCUGGUGGUUCAUCACCUUCUGGCUUAACUUAUACAUGAGCAAGAUCUCCAGGGAAUGAGUCGAGACCAAGACGUUCCCCAAUAUUGAGUCAGAGGAUAACCCAACAUCAAGAUGACGUUGCACUUCCUUUGGUGAGGUAGCGUCAGCUUUUCCUGGCAGUAAGUUUACCCCCACAAAGACAGCUGAGUAUUUCAGAUGUUUCUACAUCGGCUUCAAUGAAGAAACUACAAGCUGGUACCCAUACCAGAGAAAUGAGCCACUCUUUAAAAACCUCGACUGCUUUGAUUCAAGCACCAAUUCCUUCGAGAACGAGUUUAUGAAUGUUUUGAUCAAGCCAGGGAUUCUACCAGCAAACUUCCUCUCAGAAAAAGACUCCCCAACCUAUGAAUUCUACAAUCCAUCAGUGGCAGCAUGGCAAUUCAGCCUAGGACAGAUGCCGAUUAAAAUUUAUUUGGCUAGCCGUGUGAAGUUCCAAGAGGGGCUCUCCAAAGGACUUGAAUACAAUCGGCUGUGCAUUUUGACGCCAGAUUCCAGCACCGUCGAUUUGACUGACUGGGUGGUAGCCCCCUUCUCUGUCCAACAAUUCAAGCUAUGGUGGGGUGAGUGGAAAUAACACCUCUUCUGCGCAUCUCCCGCAACGUAUUCUAACGAUCUGGACCCCGCCAAUAUUGAUCCAAAUGCAGAGGUACCAAUCUUUCUGGCCGAUUUGACACUGUACUCUUUGUGCUAUAGGAUUAUGACUGAUUUCCCUCUUCUCUUGUAGUCUGAAAGCCAGCCCCCUCCAACGCGCAGCCGUAGUGGAAGGCCGAUAGAGAAUCGCCACCCGUACACUUUAUUUCCAAUCAUCGGCUUUCACGCCCCGUCGAUUGAAGAUAUCGUCACUAGCCAAUUAAAGCAGAAACUGAAGAUAUCUUCUACAAAGAAGACAAGCCGCCGGGUGUGCGCCCGCAUAGAAUCGGCUGAUCAAUUGGCGGCACUACCAGGCGAGUCUUUAGCCGCACCGACUAUGCCAAUCAUCCAGGAGGUUGACCCCCAAGCCGCUACGGAAGCCGGAUCGGCAGCUGCAUCCUUAUUGGUAGAAGCUGUUCAGGUAACUCUAUAUGCCUCACAUUUCUCCAAGUAUACUAUCAGUAUUAAAUUCCAUUUCUUACUAGGCCGCGCAAAUCCUCCUGGAGCAAUCCAUGCAUGAAUCGGCCAACCCUCAGGCAGAGACCGAGACACCAACAAUCUUUUCAACUGAGGUAAAGAAUAUUCACUUUAUACAAGUUUCCCAAUCCUCAGUCGAAACUGACCGAUCUCUGGUGUAGACCACCCUGGGUACAUCAAUCAUACCUUUCCAGCAGCCAUCAAUUGUGCGGUUUGCAGAGGUAAAAUAACUGAUACCCAUACUUAGAUUCAAUUACCCCUUCAUACAUAUAGAGAUUUCCUUUUUCAUCCUUUAGGAGGCUAGUCCGAGCACUGCACCAAUCAUUGUGGAAUCUUCUUCUUCUAAUGAACCAACCAUGUCGAUUCCUGAGACAACUAUAGCACUUCCACCAACGCAAACAGAAGAAAUCCGCUUUAAGGAGGUAAAAACCUUCAACACCUUAUCGGCCGAUUCUCUACUUCCGCUGGCUAAAGCACUCCCCCUCUUUCGCCUUUACAGGAACAAGACACUCCCAACAACAGCCUCUUUUCAUUCGCAAUUGCUAUCUCCGAUGAUGAAGAGGUCGCCUCCCGUCAGGUGGCUCUGGGCUCACUUCCCGAAGAAAUACGUGCCAAGCUCCAAAAUAUCCGAACCCUCCUUCAAGAUGACAUCGGCCGAUUGGUAGAAGAUGCUUCGCCGAUUCGGGCAAAUCUUCAAUGAAAUAAAAGGCCGAGUCCUAGAAGACGCAGAAGAAGCUCUUGCACCCGCGACAUAUAUUGAAUCGAUGCAGAUCCCGAUGUUCAGAGCUCUGCGGCACAUGGCCGAUUGUGCCAAGCUGGCAAAGGCACGUGAAGAGAAAGAAUCCUACAAGCACCGAGCCCAAGAGGUACACCACCGAAUCGGCGCACAUGAGAAUUCUCGUCCAAACAUCGUCGGCACCAUAGAGCGUCUCAAACGGCGUAGGGCAGAACUCGCCAAGGAGAUGGAGUAGGUCAUGAAGGCCAUUGCCGUUGAAGAGAAGAAGCUCCAAGAUCUUUCGGCCGUCAUCGCCGAUUUGAAGCAGGAGAGGCAAACUCUUGUUCAAGAGGCCAUCCGAUUACAUUGCAACAUCUUGGAAGUCCCUGGAUCGACCGACGAUGACCAACGAGUAUUAGACUCGGCAGACCAGAUCCGCCAGCGGGCAAUUGCGGCCAUUAAUACUCUCCUUGGGUGAAUGUACCAGACAUUGAAUUAUCCUUUGAACGCCUCUGUAUAAACAUUUAAUUCCCUUUUGCCGUUGCCGUGUAAAUACGAAUUUGAACAUUUCUCCUUCGCAGCUUUUUAGCCCAACGGUCAUUUGUUUUGAAUGGAUGCCUUUACUAACCUUUGUCCCACAUCUUUCCUUCCUAGAAAUAUGAGGUCUCCAUGUCUCUUCUAGAGGCACUCGCAUUUCAUCCAUCCUUCUACCCUUUGCUUAAUCGCUCUCAGAUUCCCAAUCAAGCACCAAGAUGUCUUCCUCUUCCUCCAUCAGUUAGGUAUGAAAUCACCCUUGCGCUCCUCAACAGAUUCUUGCCGACGACUGACUAUCAACUGUUGUUUCAGCCAACCCAGCUCAGCCCUGGCCUCGAGCGGGCUAUCGAGAUCAUGCACUUUGAGGAACUGCUGACGCAGGCGGAUAAAGAUUUGAUCGAAGCCCACCGAGAAGAACUUAAAGACCGUCUUCCUGCCCACAUCAAGAAGAUUGUGGAUUACAUCAAAGCCAACAUCUCUAGGAAGCCACCUCAACCGCCAAUUGAAAGGAGUCACGAGUUACCCCGUCAUAUUGUUCUUGAAGACGCCAUGGCAGAUAUGGAGGAAAAGAGCACCCGUCUCUUAAUAGAAUUAGGCCGGAUCCAAAGAGAGAUCAAUACAAGCAAAGCCCAGUUGAAACGUAGUUAAUCAUGUUGAAACUCAAUGGAUGUAUUGGUACUUUCGGUCUAAGGGCGACUUGUACUAUGUCGGCCAAGUGUCCAAUCAUCGUACCGAAUAAAAAUCGGCCUAUUUGAUCAGAGGUUUCAUCCUCAAGGUGAUGCCCCCCUG
rnacentral:lncRNA from 1 species